AGUCAGUCUGAGCUGUUUUCUACACUGGGAUGCACAUCACCAUGGCUUCAGUGAGAAUCAUCAUCACCUCAUGCAUCAGGCCCUUCCUCUCUUCUUAG
rnacentral:lncRNA from 1 species